AGAUAUAUUGGCCCCCUUCAAUAUUUUAAUGUUUGAACAGCGCCAUCUAGUAUGUUUUAUGCGCUACGGGAUGCUCGCGGCAUGAUGGUAUUUAGUACCUUACAAAUCCGCUAGAGCCUGUCACGUUCGAUUGUCAUUCCAAACAGUUGAAAUUGUUUAUAAAUAGAGUAUUUUGGCUAUUGUCUUCGGACAUUGGAUACGUUGAAUUGUUCUUCUACGGGAAUUAGAAGAUGCCUAGACCAAGUGUGCUCUCUCCGAGAAAGAAACAAAAAAAAUGGGAUCCUGAACAAGUGAAAUAAGCAAUUAAAGCAGUAAGGCACAGGGUCAUGGGAUAAAAAAGGCUGUAAAAAUGUAUUCUGCGCCUAGAUCUAUACUGAAACGGUUAGUAAAGGACGCUCAGGAAUCUUUGUAGUUGCUUGUACAUAAACCACUAAGAAGGAAACGUGUACUUCCAGCUGAGCUGGAAAAAAGUUAGUGGAGUAUAUCUUGUGUAGUAUAUGUUAGUGGAGUCCAGGUACUAUGGGCUUACUAGAAUGGAUGUCUGGAAAAUGGCUUAUCAGUUAGCUGUUAAAAAUGGUAUUCUUAAUACAUUUAAGAAUGAAGCAGCAAGGCGUACUUAGUUAGAUCACUUUUUAAACCGACAUAGAGACACUGUAUCUUUACGCAGACCAAUGGGGACAUCAUAUGCUCGUACUCAAGGCUUCAAUCAUCAAGCAGUCAAAGAAUUUUUUAAUACUUUGGAAGCUGAAAUGAGGAAAACUAAUUAUCUGGCUGACAGGAUUUUUAAUGUUGACUAAACUGGAUUGGCAAUUGUGCAGUCAAAAAUACCACAGGUGCUAGGUAAAAAAGGCAAGAAGCAGAUAGGUGCCUUAACUGCUGCAGAACGAGGGUCACUAUGAACUGUUUGCUGCAUAAACCCAUUGGGUAUAUUUGUGUCAGCUAUGAUGAUUUUCAGCAGGAAAAACGUUACGGCCAUUUUUAUGAAUGAUACAAUCCAAUUUGUUCACUGAACAGUUUAAGCGAAUUUUAUUGAUAAAACAAACUCCAAGGUCGAAUCUUCAAUAUUACUCAUCUCUGAUGGCCAUUACAUUGACACACGCAACCUAGAAAUAAUAGAUCUAGCCGCGAAAAUCAUAUCAUGAUUAUCAGCCUCCCACCUCAUAGAACGCACAAGCUCCAGCCUUUGGACAAGACUUUUAUGGGUGCCCUAAAAGUCACUAUAGUGAGGAAAUUCUCAAGUUUUUUUUGCACUCGGACAGAAUGCUGAAACCUUACAACUUUACUGAUCUUUUUGGCAGAGCAUAUCUUAAGAGCACUACGGGAGAAAUCGCAGCAAAUUGGUUUCCGUGCCAAUGGCAUUUAUCCAUUUAAUCCUCAAGUUUUUACAGAAGUCGAUAUUUUAAUGGAAGAAUCUAACAAUAAUCAAACAUCUCCUACUCCUGAUAAUCAAUAUACAGGCCCUGUUGCUGACCAGAGUGCCCCAGGGGAGAGUGUAGAAGCACAAGCACAGGAGAAUAGUUUGGUUUUACCAGAAGACAUUCAGCCAAUUUCUACGACCAAGACUAGGACUUCUAAUCGUGGAAGAAAGGCUACAACAGCAAAGAAUCGUGAACGUGGACGUGCAAGAGGCGGUGGACGCGGACGCGGACACGGUGUCAGACGUAAUCACGACAGAGAAGGAUCCGGUAGGAAUGUCGUUCGACGCCAGAGAGAAGCUACAUCUAGAAGUGGCCCUGAAAGUGACCAAGACGUUGUGAAUACCGAUUAUGUCGAGCGUUUACAAACGCGAACGUGCCGUGUACGUUCUGCAAAACCAUUUAUUGACAGACCUGGAGAGCCAUGGGUACAGUGUCAAAGUUGCAAUUUAUGAGCUCAUGUAGCCUGUGGAGGUUCUGAAGUAUUUCUACUGAAUCAGUGUGUACCACCUUCAAGCAUACCUCAACGAACGUCAAGUACGCCACAAAUGGACCAAAAAAGGGAGGAAUCUUGGUUCUCCUAGUAGAAGAAAACACCUAUGUGGAAGCUCAGACGGGUUAUUCAAGUUUUUCCAGGGUCUGGCGGCGUUGUGCGUGUUGUUCAAGUGAAAAGUCAGGGUAGUGUUGUGGAAAUAUGUUAAUAAAUUGCGACCACUACCUAUUGACACGAAUGAAUAGUGUGUUCUCAUGUAUUUGACUUGGAGUUAUGACUGAGAGUCAAAAUAACUCUUUCUGUACAGGAUUUUGAUUAUUGUUUUCGGUUCUAAGAGGAAAUGUAAUACUUUGUUUUUGUUGAAAACUGCGCGUUUUCAAGGUGGGCCGUAUGUUUAAGAUAUGUUCGCCAUGUUGGGCAUUAUUUUGUUAUGUUAGUAAAUAUAUUUCAGUGGUUUCACAUCUAUUUCCGUGUUUCACAGAGGUCUGUCGAUUGAUCUCAGUCGACGUAGUUAUC